UCCUAUGUUGUGGUGAAGUCCUUAGGACUAUUUAGACUCGACAAAGGAGGAUUUAUCAUUUAGUCCUUAAAUCUGUUUGCGAUCAAAUGAUACGUUGUUACCAAGGAUGACAAUAUUUAUCAAGCAUAGGUCAUUGUGUGCCAUAUAGGUUGGUUGUGCUCUUAACCAAUGAGUGUGGAGACACUGGUAUGGCAUACAAGUGAGAUGUAAGGGUACAUCUGCACUGAACGUGAUCGACUCUGGAGCUAUUUCUGCUGUCA
rnacentral:lncRNA from 1 species